AAGAACAAUCUGCGGAAGCUCUAAUCAAGGAGAAAUAGAGGAAUCAAUUUGUCGAGAUUAAGGAUGAAUCUAGUUACCCUUUCAAGCUAGAUUCAUGAGGCUACCCUUGGGUCUCACUCUUAUAUGUCUAUGCCUCAUCACAAGGAAAGGUCUCCAAUAAUUGCUGCCAUACAAUUCUAGAUGAUAAGGAAACAGAGGACUCAUCAAGCUAUAAAGGAAGAAGAAGAAUGACCUCGAAGGGCACGUAACUACAUCAUAUGUUUCUACACCUUUCUAUUUCAUAGUACAAAACUGUAUUCUUGAGUUUAGAAGUGUCGCAAUAGAUGGAAGAGUUAGAAAACAAAACGAGAGUAGAGUGAGAAAACAAAAUGAGAGUUGUGUCAACAUUAGAAAGAAACGGUGUUGUUGUCUAUCGUUGGUAGUGAACAUACUAAAAUCAUCACUGUUGUAAACUUUUAGCGAAAAUCUAAGAAAAUCUUUGCUCCGUUUAUUUCUACUGCAAUUAAUCAAUGUAUAAAGUCUAGUCGAAUACUGCUCAGUUUGUGGAUCAACAAAUGCACGAUGAGUUUCCUACAAUGUUGGAGAGUUACUUUACACCUAAUAUGGCAAUAUUCGUAAGGAUGGGACAUGAGUGGGACCUCAACUCUAGAGAAUUCACGAACUCCUCUAGAGAAGUAGAAGGUAAGUACUUCGAUUUACUUGCCAAUAUAAUGCGAGGCUCUUGUUUUUCGCAUCCGUUAGACCAGAUGGAAAAGUUAAUAGAGGGAUGUUUUUGGUUAAGUUUGGG
rnacentral:lncRNA from 1 species